rnacentral:lncRNA from 1 species
CAUCCCCUGCCUCUCACAUUCCCAUGGCAGAGGUGGAUGCUGCCCAAGACCCAGAGCUGCACUCGCCCAGCUUGCACCAGCCAGCAUCCACACAUGAGCUCCUCCACCCUACACUGCUCCCAGCAGGUCAAUAGGGGUGUGUCCCAUACCUGAGAUGCCACCUAAAACACUACCUACAGAAACAAAGUACUACUUGGACAACCCCAGGAAGACUGAUGCCAUGACUGAUGCAUUUCCUUAGCUUCACAUGCAGAGAACAGUUCGGACAUACAAGUUUUAAUGUCAGUAAAUCUGGAUUCAUUCUGAGCCAACAAACCACUAAGACUGGUUGGGAACAAGUUUUUCCUCUUGUGUUAAAUAAGCAUCUGCUGAAAACACAGAAUUAA